rnacentral:rRNA from 1 species
UACGGAGGGGCGAGCGUGUUCGGAAUUACUGGCGUAAGGGCGCGUAGGCGGCCCAUCAAGUUAGGCGUGAAAGCCCCGGGCUCAACCUGGGAAUUGCGUUUAAGACUGGUGAGCUAGAGUACGAGAGAGGAAAGUGGAAUUCCUAGUGUAGAGGUGAAAUUCGUAGAUAUAGGAAGGAACACCAGUGGCGAAGGCGACUACCUGGACUGAUACUGACACUGAGGUGCGAAAGCGU